ensembl:snRNA U6 U6 spliceosomal RNA
GUGCUCGCUUCAGCAGCACAUAUACAAAAAUUAGAAUGAUACAGAGAAGAUUAGUAUGGCCCCUGUUCAAGGGUGACACGCAAAUUCGUGAAGUGUUCCAUAUAAAA